rnacentral:lncRNA from 1 species
CCUGGAUGCUAUCUCAAUUCUAUUCUGCAGGUGAAGGGAAAAGUCCAUCCAGAAAGCUCUGAGGAUUCUCCUAAAGAAGCUGCAAAAGAGGAUUCAGAUGAAGAGAAACAAUUCCCUGAACAGGAAGAUAAACCAGAUGCUAACCAGCAGACUAGCACUGUACCUUUGCAGCCCCAUGCUCCUGUUGCAGAAGAGACAACAGAGACAAAAAUAAACGUUGAUAAUCACAUUCAUUCUGAAUUACAUGCUGAAGGUGAUGAUGGAUGGCAACAUGUCCAAAGGCCAAG